rnacentral:rRNA from 1 species
GCUAUACAUGCAGUCGAACGAACUUCCGUUAAUUGAUUAGGAGGUGCUUGCACUGAAUGAGAUUUUAACACGAAGUGAGUGGCGGACGGGUGAGUAACACGUGGGUAACCUGCCCAGAAGCAGGGGAUAACACCUGGAAACAGAUGCUAAUACCGUAUAACAGAGAAAACCGCCUGGUUUUCUUUUAAAAGAUGGCUCUGCUAUCACUUCUGGAUGGACCCGCGGCGCAUUAGCUAGUUGGUGAGGUAACGGCUCACCAAGGCGAUGAUGCGUAGCCGACCUGAGAGGGUAAUCGGCCACAUUGGGACUGAGACACGGCCCAGACUCCUACGGGAGGCAGCAGUAGGGAAUCUUCCACAAUGGACGCAAGUCUGAUGGAGCAACGCCGCGUGAGUGAAGAAGGGUUUCGGCUCGUAAAGCUCUGUUGUUAAAGAAGAACGUGGGUGAGAGUAACUGUUCACCCAGUGACGGUAUUUAACCAGAAAGCCACGGCUAACUACGUGCCAGCAGCCGCGGUAAUACGUAGGUGGCAAGCGUUAUCCGGAUUUAUUGGGCGUAAAGCGAGCGCAGGCGGUCUUUUAAGUCUAAUGUGAAAGCCUUCGGCUCAACCGAAGAAGUGCAUUGGAAACUGGGAGACUUGAGUGCAGAAGAGGACAGUGGAACUCCAUGUGUAGCGGUGAAAUGCGUAGAUAUAUGGAAGAACACCAGUGGCGAAGGCGGCUGUCUGGUCUGUAACUGACGCUGAGGCUCGAAAGCAUGGGUAGCGAACAGGAUUAGAUACCCUGGUAGUCCAUGCCGUAAACGAUGAUUACUAAGUGUUGGAGGGUUUCCGCUCUUCAGUGCUGCAGCUAACGCAUUAAGUAAUCCGCCUGGGAGUACGACCGCAAGGUUGAAACUCAAAGAAUUGACGGGGCCCGCACAAGCGGUGGAGCAUGU